rnacentral:lncRNA from 1 species
UCGUUCAAAAAUUAAAAUAGUUAAAGAUAAGACAAACUGACGUGUAAUUAAUCAAGAAUUUGAAGAAUGCUGUUCGUCAUUUGUUUGUGAAAGCUUCUUUUCCCGGGCAAAGGCAUGCUGUCAAAGCGUUGAAAUGAGGCUCGAUUUUGAUCAUUUGAUACAGAAACAUUUUAAACGAGUGUGACACAUUUGAUUGUGUGGAUAAUAUGAUUGAAGAAUUAGUUCCAAAACGGGAGUUUUUCUUACAAUGCCUGUAAAGUAAAAUGUGAACGGAACCUAUCAAUGUGUUUGAUCAAUAUGCCCAAACGAGAAUCCCGCUUGUCUCAUGGCGAAUUGACAAUGACGUUACGUUUUGCACCUGACGAAAUUUGCUGCAGUUUUUCAACGAAUUGAAGAACUGCUUUCUCGUUUUGUAUGCUGCACAAGCGGUAGAUGUCGCCGAGAAUGCUGCUCCGAAAAAAAAUAGUACCUAUUCCUCUAUCCCGUUAUUGUGGAACGCAGUGGCGUAGUGCAUUCUUGUAUGACCUGUUGAAGAACCAGAGUUGAGAACUUUCUCUGGGAGUUAAACCGGAGAAACGCGCUGUUGCUGACGGAAUUGCAACGUCUAGGUAAGUUUAUGUCUCUCAUUUUCUUGAUUUGCUUAAUCAGGCUUUAGUGAAACAAAUCUCACACAUUUUAGCCAAAGACUUGGCUAAUAUCAUGUGAUGGUAACUGACAGUUUUGGAAACCAGUGGCCCAAAAAAUCUUGGUUGUAGCAACAUGUUUGUUAUUUUGGGGCACGAACAAAGAGCCGAGGUUUCCCUAGAUUUCUUACACACCUAAAUCCGUUAUGUUGGACAAAUCAGCAAAAUGUUGGGAUUUUUCCUGUUUGACGUUUUUCUUUCAUUACAACGAAUUGACGGAAAUCCUUUAAUAUUCGGAUAUUUUAACUAAAAUACUCCGGAAAUGCACAAAUAAUAGAAACGCCGAUUUCACAUUUCACUGUGCCCUGGUUUCUUUUGUGUACAAAGUAAAGAUCUUUGUUUGCAUUGUGUUCAAUGAUAUCUUUCAAGUGUUAUGUUUUUGUAUUGUGAGGUGUGUAAAACUUAAAGGCUGUAGUGCUGAAAAAAAAAAGGAACCUGUAGGGAAAGCAGUUUCUAAUUUAUCUCUGUGAACCAAUAGGAAUUCAGGAACACGAAAGGAUAUAUUAAACUUAAAACAGCUUCCAACUGGAUUAAAAUAACGUAUAAAUACCGAUUUCUAUUUGCAUAGGUUUAUGUCUGCUGAAAUUGUAAAACGCCGAAACCAGGGCGACAAAUGAAUCUCGAACCUCUAGUGGAUAAUCAAAAACGAUAUCUGAGUUGCCACUUUGCAGUUGCUUUUGAGCUUCUAUUAUCCCACUAAGAAUGUCUGAAACAUCAUAAAUAUGAAUUAGCUUUUGACCACAAAAACAAGCAUUAAAAAACCAUACUUUUAUAUGGAACUUCUUCGUCAUGUUUCAUAUGUCUAGUCAGGUUUUCAAGCAACUUAGCAGAUCCAAUUAACAACUCUUCUGCAUAAAGGAAUUUAGAAAAAAAACCAUUAAUAAGUGUAUGAAGGGGUGGUCAGUGAAGAAAACAAUAUGAUGCAGAGAUCAUUAUUACCUUUUAGAGAGUUUUCAAGGAUGAAGGCAACAGACAUCCAUAAGGCUUCAUCAUCAAGAAGACUACUGCAGGAUUUAUUUUUAGAAUAGUGAUAGGAUUUAUUGUCAGAAUAGUGAAUCAAAUUAUCUAGGAGCCGAACAAUCUGGAUAAUUGUUUGGGAGUCUUCACUAGACAUCAAGUUUACUACACCAGUCAGCAACUCACUAUCCAAUAGGAUUUCAUGGCCUAUCUUUUGUUGGCAAGCUAGGUUUGCUAGGAUUCCAAUUCCAAUCUCCUGUAUUUAUAUUUUUAUGUUCAUUAAAAAAAAAUGCAUAAUAUGCACUCAUUAACACCUUUACCGUUAAUCUUGGGGCUACACUUUCUUCAAUGACACAUUUUGCUAAGGAUAAAAUGUCAUGCUGAAAUAAACAAUGUGCAACUUCUUUAUCUGCAGACAUGUCCCACAACAAACACAGGUCUGUUUCCAAGGAUUCAUCCAGUUCAACUGCAUUGCUCUCUUGAGUUUCAAAAUUGUUAUGGUUCUUUGAGUAUGAAGGCAAUUCCUGGACAGUGAAACUUGUUGAAACUAUUUAACUUGUCUAUUAGUUUUAUACCUCAGUAAGUUUCAUUAAAGUUUUCAAGAUCCACGAUUCCGAAUACAACGUAUCACCUAUCGCAUCUCCUUUAAGUCUUUCGUCAUCUUCCGUUAUUGCUUCACCAUUUUCUUCAACACUGGAUUCAUCAGAGUUUUGCUUAGAAACGGACAUUCUAAAUUUCUAACCGAGAAAAAAAAUUGCUGUCGAAAACUAACGACUGAAGCUAAAGCACUCUGAGAUUUGUUUGUUUGUUUGUUUACAACAUGACGGUAUUUCACCUCUUGCCGCUAGGAGAACUGACAGUGCCGUAUGUUACACUGUAAGGUCGCUAGAUGUGGCUAUUCCUAACUUUUUAGUUGGAAUGCGUGCAAACGAAAGCAUGAUGUGCGUUUGAAUGGGAAGAAAACAAGUAACUUUAAGAAUUUCCUGCCGAUUCCACGGCAUUUCAUUAUUUUCGAAAAAUACUGGUGAUGACAUCACCAGCAUGAUCCUGUCUCCAUCGCUCCCAACACAUCGGUCUGUGAAGUGAUUACAACGGCUAAUUUUCUAGGGAAUUCGUCAGCCCAUUUUUGUGCAAUGGAUUCCACCGAUUUUGCCAGGACCCAUGUUUUGGGAAUCUAACGAACGAAAUUCUCAUUUCUCUGCUACUGACAAAUCAGUAAGCUCCUAAAUAAUUUUUUUCUCCAUUCAAUUUUCGAAUUUCUUCUGCAGCUUUACGACCCAAGUUUGAGUGAUCGUUUUGAGUUUAGUUGGCUCUAUGUAUUGUUAACUGUUGUAAAAAUAGACCAGCACCUGAAUGCAAUAAAUCAGAAAUUACUGAUGUAUUGCUAUUUCUUGUGGUCCUUUGUUCGUAAUUGAUUAAACGAUGGAUCGAAAAACAGUUUAGGUUGUUCAAUUAAACAAAUGCAACAAAUUUUAACUUUUAAUUGCACUAGAUUUCCCUUGUUCCUUUGAAAUGUUAAGCAUUUUGGCCGUUUUUUAAAUAAUUGGAACAAAAGUGCCUGUGGCGCAAAAUAUUUGUUUAUCGGUUUCUUACGUUUAUUGAAAAAACCUCAAGUCCAAGAUAAAAACGAAAUCUAUUUUCUUGAUCCUCGUCAAAUUUUGAGUGGAAAACAUGCAUUUUUAACUAUAUCUAGAAUUUGUCAAAAAAUGAAAAAGUGGGAAGGCUAUACCCUUCUCACUUUUAUCAAAAUCUGCAAAAAUUCACAUCUCUUGGAAUUCGCUGAAAAUUAUACGGUAUAGUCGAAAUUGAAUGCAGAUUUCAGAAAACAUAUUAGUUUCCCCAUUAAUUAUAUAAUUUCUUAAUAAGACGCAAUUAAAGUGGUUAUGGGUAUGGCGCAUCUGGCGCAUCAUUUUUUUAUCUAAAUCAUACAUGUUCAUGGUAUGGACAAAUGCAAGAAGAUUGAACAAAAUACUAAAGCGCAACAAAAGAAUAAAAGACUUCCAACUUCCGCCCACAAAGAUGUUUAAGGAAAAACCUAAAGUUGGAGCUUGAUACAUUUUUUUCUCAUGGAAAGUUUUGUAAAACAAAUGGCAAACUGGUUAAAUGAAACUUGAUUCCUUUUUUUUUAAUUCGUUAAUUAAUUUUUGUGUGUGUGUUUUUUGUUCUGUUAUGGUGGAACGGUGGAGAGAAAAGAUGUUCGCGAAUAUGGGCAAUUCGAGAUCCAAGUAGAAACGGAGUGCAUAUUGUUUAAAGGCUUAUAGACUGGUAUUACUGACCAAUGUUGACAGCGUAGACAAGGUUACAGAAAGGUUGCAUUGAUCUUAAUGGCUGGUGUACAAUUACAGGACGAAAAAUGUCAUCAGCUGACGGAACAGCUGACAUGCCCAUAAAAAUUCUACGGAGUUAGUUAUUUCUCCCCUAGAUGUCUUGAAAAUAUACGGGAAAUGUCAGCUGUCCCGUCAGCUGUUCCAUUUCGCGUGGCUUCUGACUGAGGAUGGCUGCUGAUACGAACUUCUCUCUUCUUGAAAUUUUACCACCUAUGCCGUGUGUUUUGAGUUGCAUCUGGUGAAUUCAAUCAAUGCUGAGUUGUUCAAGGAGGAACAUGGGGCUUUGCUAGCACGUUUUUCAUCUCCGUUAGUCUGAUAUACCCAUUUUGUUUCAAAGGUCUUUAUCACCUGAUGUACUGUUGUGGCUGUGGAAUCAUUCAGUGACUUGGUUCAAUCCAGGACUUGGUUUCUUCGAAAAUGGUUUACAGUUUUAAUUUGCAGAGAUCCUGGAGGCACCUGAUGUGUUUCAUUGGCGUUGGAGUCACUCGGUGACAGAAGAGAAUGCCUCUAAUGUUAUGUUGUCAGUGUAAAUAAAACAUAUUCAGUAUCA